CUUUAAUAGAUAAUUUUAGUAUGUGGUGUGUUGGUAUGUUGGAUUAAGCUUUGUAGUUUAUUUUAAAAAUUUUUGUAUGUGGGGCAAAGGAAAAAGGAAGCUUUAGGUUGUUUUUUUUUGUUUUUUGGUAUUGCAUAUCAUUAAAGGAUUAUUUUAUUGUUUAUGAUUAAUAAAAAUAGAAGGUGGAGAAAUUUAUAAUUUUAUUGUUAUAUAAUAGGAGUUAUUGUUUUUUGUUUUGAUAUGACGUCUUUUAUGAUAUUUGUUAUUUUUGUUUUUCUUAGAAAAUUGUAAAAGUUUUGUUUUAUGUUUAGGAUUUAUAUGAUUUGGAGUUUUUUUAAUUUUAGUGUUAUGACUUUUUCUUUAUUGUUGUUGUUUUUUAUUUGUAUUUUUAUUAAUAUUUUGAUAAUUAUAUAAUUUUUAAUUUAGUAUAUUUUUAAAUGGAAUUAUUUUUUGUAAAUUUGGGUUUGAGAACUAGGUUUAUGAUCAAAUGUUUAUUAAAGACUGAGAUGUUAAUUUGAUAUUGUCCUCUGCUCUAUGAUGUUUUAAAUGGCCGCCUUAGCGUGAGGGCAUGAAAGUAGCAAAAUAAUUUGUGCUUUUAAUGGGUUCGAGUAUGAAAGGGGGUUUGGUUGUUUUUGUUUUAUUUUUAUUUAGAAUUAUAAGGAUGUUUAAUAAUUAAUAUUUGUAUUUUAACAAAGAUAAGUCUUCGGAAAUUCUUUUAGUUGCUGUUUUUUUAUAUAGUAGCUGUGUUGCUUAGGGCAAGUUUUUUUAUAAGAUGGUUUACUAGGUUUAUAGUAGUGAGUUACUCCGGAGUUAACAGAAAAUCACAUUUUUUCUAGAUGUUAUAGAUAAAAGGGUUUUACAUCGAUGUUGUAUUCUGACUGGCUGAAGGAGUA
rnacentral:rRNA from 1 species